GGACUAAUCUGGUAGAACAUGGUACUAUAGGAGGACUAAUCUGGCAGAACAUGGUACUAUAGGAGGACUAAUCUGGUAGACCAUGGUAGUAUAGGAGGACUAAUCUGGUAGAACAUGGGGUCUAUAGGAGGACUAAUCUGGCAGAACAUGGUACUAUAGGAGGACUAAUCUGGUAGAACAUGAGGUCUAUAGGAGGACUAAUCUGGUAGAACAUGAGGUCUAUAGGAGGACUAAUCUGGUAGAACAUGGGGUCUGGUAAGGAGGGCCAGGUACUGGGUUCUACUCAGGAGGGUGACACACAGCCAGGACACUAAUGCCUGAUUCCCACCAUAUGGCUGACCUGACUUGUACCGUGCUGACUGAUAUAUGAUCCGUUUAGCAGCUUUGGUAGAUGUUUAACCAGACCAGCCUAGUCCAGCUGGUAGAUGUUUAACCAGACCAGCCUAGUCCAGCUG
rnacentral:lncRNA from 1 species